rnacentral:lncRNA from 1 species
CUCACACACUCAGACUAUAGUGUCAAUUCCCGUACCACAGAAUGAUCAAAAAGGAGGGAGAGUAAAGGUUAGAGGGAGAACUCCAGGACACCUUCUGGAGCAGAGAGCAGGCUUGUCCUUGCAGAGUUGAAUCAUCCACGCCCUCCUAAGUGCCCCCACUGACUCUUUACAGAAGAGAGAAAUUUGGACACAAGGAUACAGACACAGAGGGAGGACGGCCAUGCGAAGACAGAGGCAGAGAUUGAAAUUAUGCUUCCGCAAGCCAAGGAACACCACGGACUCUGGGAACCACCAGAAGAAGCUGGAAGGGACAAGGAAGGAUUCUUCCCUAGAGCCUUCGGAGACAGCAUGGGCGUGCUGACACCCUGGUUUCAGAUUUCUAGCCUCCAGGACUGUGAGAGAAUAAAUUUCUGUUAUUUUAAGCCACCA